rnacentral:snoRNA from 1 species
CACCUCUCAGGGUCGCACCUGGAGAGUUUCCAGUACUCUACCAGUCUCGACUAUGUGGGGGAGAGUCAAGCAGAGACAUAUCCAUUCCAUCCCUAGCUUGAGCAGUGGCUAGUGAGUGGAAGGCAAUCUGCUACACAU